CUUUCCGACCCAUCUCCAACCUCCAGCCGUCUUUUAUCCAAAACUCCAAACUCCAAAGGCGCUGCUGCAUCUGGCCUUCUCCACCACACUACGCACACCGCCGGUGGCCGCCGUUCCCUCCUCCCCUGCGCUUGGCUGCUCUCGUCCGCCUGACUGCUGCGGACAGCCAACCCGCCCUGCGCCGGGCCGAGAGCAGUCCCUCCGGCCGGCGGCCACCUGCCGAGAGCAGUCCCGCCGGCCGGUGAGCGCCGCGUGCGCUGAUCUGUCCGACGGCGGCAGAUGCAGUCCUCCAGGCGACCGGCUGCUCAGAUCCGCUGGCUGCAACCGCACGCACUCCCGCCGGUGACGGGACGGACGGCCACUGUGCCGUGCCGCGCUCCUUGCCGUCCGGCGAGGGUCUCCUCCCGCCGGUGGUCAGCUCUGUUUCCAGAGGUCCUCUCCUCCCCCCUCCUCUGUUGCUUUCAGGGCGGGUUAAUUCAUCCUCUCGUCCCCACCAUGGACCGUGAACCGGCCGCGCCAGGAUACCCAAGGUGACAACUAGACUAUGAUUCUUCAUCGGAGCAUGAGUUGUAUAUAUGUGCCUUAAGCUGGGUUCUGUUACUCCCAAAAACGUGUGCCGCCCGCAGUACAACACUCGAUCACUCUAUUUUUGUCUAUGAGAUUGUACAAACUCACACGUUGUGCAACGCAAGUUCGGUGGAGAUCCAAGGCCUCCACCAAUCCCCAAGCAACGCCUCAUGUUUGGAUUCAAGCUGGGUGCGGAAACAACAAGUUACACGUCCAUCCAUGAUGUUAUGUUUUCAUCUUACAACAAGGCCUUCAAAUUCGUCGGCCUCUGUUGGUCCCCAAGCGACGCUCUCAUGUUUGGAUUCAAGGGCUUGUUUGGGACUGCUCUGCUUCACCAAAAUCAAAAUUCACUUUGAAGCAGUUUCAUACAAAAGUUGUAGCACUACCAGAAAGAAUGUUUUGCUUCCAUCUAACUCCAGCAUCAAGAAUGGGAAGUUUGGUGGAAAGGAACUAUUUGAUUGGAUGAGGGGGGAGAAACAAAAUGUAUCCACUUAUUGGUAGCAGUGGUGGGUAAUUUCUCCCCAACUCCCAACUUCUAGAGUUUUUUGGAGCCCCCUGAAGAGUUCAUAACAAACAAACUGAGAAUUGUACCACAGUUUUUUUUUUGCGGAGCAACAUAUCGUGGAGCUACCUCGUUUGGCUUGUAUUUUCUAGAGCGGAGCUGAAUUUUAAGGAGCAAAGCAGUCCCAAACAAGCUCUAAGUUGGGUUCUGAAACAAGAAGCUAUGUGCAGACCCGUCCAUCCAUGAUGUUAUGUUUCAUCUGACAACAAGGCCUUCAAAUUUGGCCUCCAUCAUUCCCCAAGCAACACCUCUAAUGUUUGGAUUCAAGAUGGGUUCUCAAACAACAAGUCAUGUGCAGACAUCCACGAUGUUAUGUUUUUAUCUUACAACAAGGCCUUCAAAUAUGUCGGCCUCCAUUGUUCUCCAAGCGACGCUCUCAUGUUUGAAUUCAAGUUGGGUUGUGAAACAACAAAUUAUGUGCAGGCCUGUCCAACCAUGAUUGUUAUGUUUACAUCUUAAUUACAAGAUGGCCUUCAAAUCCGUUGGCCCCCUCCCUCCCCUCCCCCGCUCGAAGCAGCUCGAAACACCUAACCCUAGCCGCCGCCGCCGCCGACGCCGCCGACGCCGGAGCUCCCUCCAGAAUCCAAACCGCGCAAGGCAUGGCGCAGGACCAGCAGCAGCCGUGGGGAGCCGCAGCUCCGCCCCUCCUCUUCCCGCUGCCGGCGAGGAGAAUCAUCACCGCCGACGACGUCCUGAAAGCCUAUCCCGCGGUGGAGAAGAAGUGGAUCCCUAUCCGUGACUGCGUCCCCCCAGUUGAGGACAUGUACUUCAAGUAUAAGAAGGAAACAGAUGACACUGGUGAUGAAGAUGCAAACCUAGUCAAACGUCAAGUGAUCAACGGCUGCAACUCCCUUGGAAACAAGCGCCGAGAAAUCUGUUAUUAUCUACCAUCCAAGAAGAGGUAUGAGGCCUUGAUCACCAGGUUGGGUAACGAGUUGCAGGGCCUCGAGCACCAGCUCGCCCACAGGAUUGCUGAUUUUCGCACUUUCAUGCCCGACAACCCAUUCGAGAUGCCGGAUCAUUUCAUGAGAUACCCUGAGUUGAUGAAGCCAGUGCCUAAGAAGGCGAAGGCGACUAAGAGGAAGUAGAGCGUUGGCUCUUAUGUCUGGCUGAUUGUUCUGGGUGCAACUUUCUGUCAUCACUUGUGAGUGCCUUGCUGCAAAUUUUGUCUAUGACGACGUUUUGGCUAUUCUGUUUAGCUGAUGAUUACUUGUGAAUUAAAUAGUGAAUGGAUUAUGAGAUAUUUUGUUGUGUAGCCUAUUUGGUUUUGUCUUGUGAUGACGUUUUGGAUUACUUGUGGAUUAAAUGAUGAAUGGAUUAUGAGAUAUUUUGUUAUGUGCCCGACUUGGGAGUAA